rnacentral:rRNA from 1 species
GCGGAUGACCUGUGGCUGGGGGUGAAAGGCCAAUCAAACCGGGAGAUAGCUGGUUCUCCCCGAAAGCUAUUUAGGUAGCGCCUCGUGAAUUCAUCUCCGGGGGUAGAGCACUGUUUCGGCUAGGGGGCCAUCCCGGCUUACCAACCCGAUGCAAACUGCGAAUACCGGAGAAUGUUAUCACGGGAGACACACGGCGGGUGCUAACGUCCGUCGUGAAGAGGGAAACAACCCAGACCGCCAGCUAAGGUCCCAAAGUCAUGGUUAAGUGGGAAACGAUGUGGGAAGGCCCAGACAGCCAGGAUGUUGGCUUAGAAGCAGCCAUCAUUUAAAGAAAGCGUAAUAGCUCACUGGUCGAGUCGGCCUGCGCGGAAGAUGUAACGGGGCUAAACCAU